AACGAACGCUGGCGGCAUGCCUAACACAUGCAAGUCGAACGAGAGCUUCGGGACUGGUGGCGCACGGGUGCGUCACGCGUGGGAACCUGCCCGUAGGUUCGGGAUACCUCUCCGACAGGGGUGCUAAUGCCGGAUAAUGUCUUCUGACCAAAGAUUGAUCGCCUUUGGAUGGGCCCGCGUUGGUUUAGCUAGUUGGUAGGGUAAAAGCCUACCAAGGCUAGGCUCCAUAGCUGGUCUGAGAGGAAGGGCAGCCACACUGGGACUGGGACACGGCCGAGACUAUUAGGCGAGGGAGCAGAGGGGAAUAUAGGAAUAUCGGGGAAAGGCUGAACGAGCAAGGCCGGGUGAGUGAUGAAGGCGUUAGGGAUGUAAAGCUCGUUUAUCCGGGAUGAUAAUGACGGUACCGGGAGAAUAAGCACCGGCUAACUUCGUG
rnacentral:rRNA from 1 species